rnacentral:rRNA from 1 species
CAGGCCUAACACAUGCAAGUCGAGCGAAUCUUUGGGAGCUUGCUCCUGAAGGUUAGCGGCGGACGGGUGAGUAACACGUGGGCAACCUGCCUGUAAGACUGGGAUAACUUCGGGAAACCGGAGCUAAUACCGGAUAAUUCAUUUCCUCUCAUGAGGAAAUGCUGAAAGUCGGUUUCGGCUGACACUUACAGAUGGGCCCGCGGCGCAUUAGCUAGUUGGUGAGGUAACGGCUCACCAAGGCGACGAUGCGUAGCCGACCUGAGGGGGUGAUCGGCCACACUGGGUCUGAGACACGGCCCAGACUCCUACGGGAGGCAGCAGUAGGGAAUCUUCCACAAUGGACGAAAGUCUGAUGGAGCAACGCCGCGUGAGCGAUGAAGGCCUUCGGGUCGUAAAGCUCUGUUGUUAGGGAAGAACAAGUACCGGAGUAACUGCCGGUACCUUGACGGUACCUAACCAGAAAGCCACGGCUAACUACGUGCCAGCAGCCGCGGUAAU